UACGGAGGGUGCGAGCGUUGUCCGGAAUCACUGGGCGUAAAGGGCGCGUAGGUGGCCCCUUAAGUGGUGUGGUGAAAGCCCGGGGCUCAACCCCGGGUCGGCCUGCAAACUGGGGGGGCUGGAGCACUGUAGAGGCGAGGCGGAAGUUCCGGGUGUAGCGGUGGGAAUGCGCAGAGAGUCCGGAAGAACACCGGUGGCGAAGGCG
rnacentral:rRNA from 1 species